UACAGGUUCAGUCCAUGAAAAUUUUAUGUCAAAAAACACUUCAGCUGACUCACCUUUUGGUAGUCGUACAGAAAAGAUUAUCAACAGUUUUCUGCAGAAUCCUGUUUUGAAAGGAGAGGAAAACGAGACAAAUGAAGUGGCUGGGCGGUUGAGGUCAGAGAACAACUUGCUUCACAUGGUAAUUUAUGUUUUUGGUUCUGUUUCUCUUUUUUGUUUAGACAAGCAUACAUGAAUGAUAAAUGACUAUUUUGAAAGCAUUUAAUGGUUAAGAAAAAAAAAAAAAACAUUUGUACACCCACAAUCAGAGAACGAAGAAGAUUGAAAGAUGGAGCACCCAGAAUCAGAGAACGAAGAAGAAGAAGAAGAAGCAUAAGAAUUUUUUUCUACACAUUUGUACUCCCAGGUUGAAGAAGAAGAAGAAAAAUAAUGGCAAAAAAAAAAAAAAAAAAACAAUGCCAGAUCGAAGAGAAGAACGAAGAAGAAGACAUUUUUUCCUCCACAUUUGUACACCAGAUCGAAAAUAAAAUUGCAAAAAAAAACAAAUUGCCAGAUCGAAGAACAAGACAAACGAAGAAAAA